GUAGGUGGCAAGCGUUGUCCGGAAUUAUUGGGCGUAAAGCGCGCGCAGGUGGUUCUUUAAGUCUGAUGUGAAAGCCCCCGGCUCAACCGGGGAGGGUCAUUGGAAACUGGGGAACUUGAGUGCAGGAGAGGAAAGUGGAAUUCCACGUGUAGCGGUGAAAUGCGUAGAUAUGUGGAGGAACACCAGUGGCGAAGGCGACUUUCUGGCCUGUAACUGACACUGAGGCGCGAAAGCGUGGGGAGCAAACAGGGAUUAGAUACCCUGGUAGUCCACGCCGUAAACGAUGAGUGCUAAGUGUUGGGGGGGUUUCCGCCCCCGUCAGUGCUGCAGCUAACGCAUUAAGCACUCCGCCUGGGAGUACGGCCGCAAGACUG
rnacentral:rRNA from 1 species